rnacentral:rRNA from 1 species
AAUCAAGUGCCUUAAGGGUGUUCGGUGGAUGCC